ensembl:lncRNA
UUUGUCUCUCCACUCCAGUGAUGAUCCAUUGCAAUAAGCCUCCAGUGAUGAUCCAUGGCACAAAGCCUCCAGUGAUGAUCCAUGGCACGAAGCCUCCAGUGAUGAUCCAUGGCACGAAGCCUCCAGUGAUGAUCCAUGGCAUGAAGCCUCCAGUGAGGAGUCAUGGCAUAAAGCCUCCAACGAAGGCCUCCAGUCCGGAGCUUCCAGCGAUGGCCUCCAGUCCGGAGUCUCCAGCAACGGCCUCCAGUCCGGAGCAUCCAGAGACAGUCUCCAGCCCGGAGCCCCCAGAGACGGCCUCCAGCCCGGGACCCGCAGCGAGGGCGCCCAGUCCGGGGCCCGCAACGGGGGCAACCCAGUCCGGGGCCCACAAUGAGGGGGCCCAGUCCGGGGUCGGCGACGAGGGUCCCCGCACCAGAGGUGCCACCAAAGUGAGGGAAGUCCCCUCCUGUUCCCUGAUUAAGAGGUGAUGAUUACUCGACUCCACUACAAUUGUCAACUUUCUCCUGACAUAAACUGAAGCCACAUCUCAUGUGCCUGCUCAUCCACUGGCACAUUGAAUGUUUCCCCUCCGAGCACUGAGUACCCCCUAUCAAUUUUCUCUCAUUACUGUAUGUAGAGUCAAUUACUUACACUCACAUUAUUACACAUCAAUGAUUUUCCUCCUUGCUUGGACUAACUUAUUCUUAGCUCUUUUGUCAAACUGUGUACUGUGUUGUCUUGUAGUUUUUUGUCUUACCAGUCAAAUCCUGUACUGCACUGGUCAAGCCUCUGAACACCUCAACUCAUGCCUCAUUCAAUCACUGCUGUGAUCCCUUUCCAACAUGGUUCACCAGCCUCCACUGCUUUCAACAUACAGUAUGCCCGGACAUCUCCCGCUGUCACCCGAAGCAAGCCACUGAAACAGACUCACGCUAACAGAGCUGUACUGCUGGUUCCCAGUUAUUAUGUAGGCUAACGAAACUUUAGUUUGCAUGGCCUUUCCAUAUUAAAAAAGGAUGAAUCCAAUCUGUAAUGUGUCUGCGUUGCAGCAUUGCCCCUCUAUUCCCUACGCACACAUAAUCCACUAUCAAUAUUUAUAGAAAGACAAUAUGACAAAUUGAAUUGGUCAAACUGAUAAACAUGCAGUUAUUCAUUUGAUGUUUAAUUUAAUUGAAGACAUCAGUGUGUGCAUAUAGGAACUUUACAUGUUAUAGCCCAGAGUGCCCCUUAUGGAAAAACAACAUGAUUUCACAUGUGGAAAAUCAAAUGUUUUCAUUUCCAGAAGAUUUCACAUAACAUUUCCUCUUGUUUUGCACAUGUGAAUCUAUGUGUUUUUGGAACACUUCAAUUGUGAUAAUGUGGAUUUUUACGUGUGAAAAUAUAAGGUUUCACAUUUGGAUUCAAAUUUUCACGAUAUUUCAUAGGCGAUGCCCUGA